rnacentral:rRNA from 1 species
AUGAAGGCUUCAAAGAUAUUCCUGUCGCCACAACUGUUAGAGAUCAUGGUGCAACGUAUCAGGGAAGGACAAAUCCCUCCUACUCAGAAGAUCUAUUGCCCGUACUCCAAGUGUUCAGCCUUGAUGUCUUUGAGAGAAGUGAUAAGCUCAUGGGCCUUAAUGUACACUGUUGCUGGAGGUCCAACGUUGAGAAAGUGUAUCAAAUGCAAGGGUUUGUUCUGCAUCAGCUGUAAGGUCCCAUGGCAUGCUGGGAUGAGUUGCUCUGACUACAAGAGAAAGUAUCCUCAUGUUCGUCCAGAAGAUGCCAAGCUGCAGAACCUUGCACAGCAGCGGUCGUGGCGCAAGUGUGUCAAAUGCAACCACAUGAUUGAACUCGCAGAGGGUUGCUACCAUAUAACUUGCGUGUGCGGCUAUGAAUUUUGCUACACCUGUGGGAAAGAAUGGAAGGACAAGAAGGCGACUUGCUCCUGCCGGCUGUGGGAUGAACACAAUAUAAUCCAUGAUCCAGGAGGACGGCGUAUUCCUGUACAAGAAAAUGUAAACUACCAGCUCUCAUUGAAAGGCCAAUGUGUGAGGAUGAAACUGCUAGAUGAUAGGAAAAUGGAUCUGAGACAAUGGCUUAUUAACCAUAUUGUAUCAGUGGAAGACUGGAAGAUCCUUGAUCUCCGCCACGGGGAAAUCAGUAGCAUUGCGCCCUCUGUGCUCCAGCUUGCAAGGGCGAUUCGGAGAGCGGGCAACAUCAUCAACGACGACCUCAGCGACACAAUCCGCUGGACUGCUACCACCUCCGGGCACUACUCCGCUUGCUCCGCCUACGCGGCACAGUUCCAGGCGCCAAUGGCACCCUUCCCCUCCAAGAACGUCUGGCGUAUCUGGGCACCUGGGAAGCUCAAGAUGUUCCUCUGGAUGCUACACCUCGACAGGCUAUGCUUGGAGUCCUCCUCCCACCUUUUCUGGGAAUGCCCGAUUGCUAUCCAGGCCUGGACAACGGCGGCAUCAUGGCGGGGCUGUCACUCCCUGGCACACGCUACCUGGAGCUCCGGAACGACGACGACGGAAAGAGUGAGACUGAUGACGGACGCGGCAAGCCCAACCGACAGGAAGGGCACCAGAUCAAUUCUUGCACUCAUUGCCUGGCACAUAUGGCUUGAGCGUAAUGCAUGCACCUUCCGCAGUAAGAUGCCGUGCUCUCGCACCAUCAUCGAAGCGUGUCGUCGCGACAUGGAGCAAUGGAGGAUCGCAGGAGCAGCCUGCAUAGAGCACCCCUUCGGGGAUGUGCUGUGA